GGGAGCACGCCUGUUUGAGUGUCGUGAAUUGUCAAACUGGGAUGCUUUUGUGUCUCGGCUUGGUAUUGGGCUUUGCAGUUCCUUUGAUUGGGAUGGCUGGCCUGAAAAGCAUUAGCUGGCUUUUGAUGUGGGAUUGGUUCUACUCAGCGUGAUAAUGAUAUGACCGCCGAGGACAUCUUUUGAGAUGGCCAAUUGCCAUUUAGGCUGCUUCUAAUUUUGGUUGAGGGAGAUACUGAUCACAUCUGCUCGACUUUUGAACUUUUGACCUCGAAUCAGGUGGGACUACCCGCUGAACUUAAGCAUAUCAAUAAGCGGAGG
rnacentral:rRNA from 1 species